AAUAGAUACCCGGGUAGUCCCAGCCGUAAACGAUGCUCGCUAGGUGUCAGGCAUGGCGCGACCGUGUCUGGUGCCGCAGGGAAGCCGUGAAGCGAGCCACCUGGGAAGUACGGCCGCAAGGCUGAAACUUAAAGGAAUUGGCGGGGGAGCACAACAACGGGUGGAGCCUGCGGUUUAAUUGGACUCAACGCCGGACAACUCACCGGGGACGACAGCAAUAUGUAGGCCAGGCUAAAGACCUUGCCUGAAUCGCUGAGAGGAGGUGCAUGGCCGUCGCCAGUUCGUACUGUGAAGCAUCCUGUUAAGUCAGGCAACGAGCGAGACCCGUGCCCACUGUUACCAGCAUGUCCUCCGGGACGAUGGGUACUCUGUGGGGACCGCCGAUGUUAAAUCGGAGGAAGGUGCGGGCUACGGUAGGUCAGUAUGCCCCGAAUUUCCCGGGCUACACGCGGGCUACAAUGAAUGGGACAAUGGGUCCCUACCCCGAGAGGGGUUGGUAAUCUCCCAAACCCAUCCGUAGUUCGGAUCGAGGGCUGUAACUCGCCCU
rnacentral:rRNA from 1 species